AGAGUUUGAUCCUGGCUCAGGACGAACGCUGGCGGCGUGCCUAAUACAUGCAAGUCGAGCGGACAUCGUCAGUUGCUUGCAACUGACUUUGUUAGCGGCGGACGGGUGAGUAACACGUAGGCAACCUGCCCAUAAGACCGGGAUAACAUUCGGAAACGAAUGCUAAGACCGGAUAAGCGAGAGGGAGGCAUCUUCUUCUC
rnacentral:rRNA from 1 species